CCCUGAGCCGGCCCGUUGCCAUGGUUUCCGGGCCUAGGACAAGGAUUAAAAAACACCCAGAGGCAACAAGCUGCGAGCUUUCCGCAGGAUUUCAGAGCAGGGCGAUGAAUAGGACUGUGCUGCCAAGUAAAUAUAGUGUGUCUAGGUGACAAGUGCAGAGUGCGAGAGUGAUUGCCUGAUAAUGGAUGAAUCAAGCUAAAGGCAGAGCCGCCGCGAACUGAGUGUGAAGAAGAAGCGUCCCUCUAUGAAACAUCGCCUGUCCAUGGAUGGCCCCCACACUGAUGCAGCCUGACCUGCUGAGUCAGUCCAACGCUCUAGAUUUUCACUCAAAUUAAGCCUCCCUUCACCACCUCCAGUUUAAAUCCCAUUUGGAAUAUUUUGGAGGACCAAGAGAAGCCAAGAAGAACCAAGUGAAGUUGGAAAAGACAUGGCUUUGAUAAAGGAUGGAGACUCAAUGAACUACUCUCACCGAUGAAAUGUCAAAUGGCCAUCAAUUAUACUCAAGAAAUCACAGAUGAGAAUGGACAAAAUCGCCUACUUGUAUAAAGCAAUGACAGGAAUUGAACUACUAGAAAAUAUCUGUUAUUGUAAGCAUCAGCUUGAGAAAAGUAAAAACCGACUAGAGCUU